rnacentral:rRNA from 1 species
UACGUAGGGUGCGAGCGUUGUCCGGCAUUAUUGGGCGUAAAGAGCUUGUAGGCGGUUUGUCGCGUCUGCUGUGAAAAUCCGGGGCUCAACCCCGGACUUGCAGUGGGUACGGGCAGACUAGAGUGUGGUAGGGGAGACUGGAAUUCCUGGUGUAGCGGUGGAAUGCGCAGAUAUCAGGAGGAACACCGGUGGCGAAGGCGGGUCUCUGGGCCGAUACUGACGCUGAGGAGCGAAAGCGUGGGGAGCGAACAGG